AGCGAACGCUGGCGGCAGGCUUAACACAUGCAAGUCGAGCGGGCACUUCGGUGUCAGCGGCAGACGGGUGGGUAACACGUGGGAACGUACCCUUCGGUUCGGAAUAACGCUGGGAAACUAGCGCUAAUACCGGAUACGCCCUUUUGGGGAAAGGUUUACUGCCGAAGGAUCGGCCCGCGUCUGAUUAGCUAGUUGGUGGGGUAAUGGCCUACCAAGGCGACGAUCAGUAGCUGGUCUGAGAGGAUGAUCAGCCACACUGGGACUGCGACACGGCCCAGACUCCGACGGGAGGCAGCAGUGGGGAAUAUUGGACAAUGGGCGCAAGCCUGAUCCAGCCAUGCCGCGUGAGUGAUGAAGGCCUUAGGGUUGUAAAGCUCUUUUGUCCGGGACGAUAAUGACGGUACCGGAAGAAUAAGCCCCGGCUAACUUCGUG
rnacentral:rRNA from 1 species